rnacentral:misc_RNA from 1 species
UGUACUAUCAACACUCUCAA